rnacentral:misc_RNA from 1 species
UUUAUUUAUAAUGUUAAUAAUAAGCGGUAAUGGUUGCAAUAAUUGAUAGUCGGGUGGCGGCGACAACAGUGGUUAAGUAAUAGUGAUGACAAGGUGAGGUAAUACUGAUGAUGAUGGCCAGGCAAUGGUUGAGGUAGCAGUAGCUAAAUAGUGAUAGUGGUAAUCAAGUGGUGGUGGUGGUAAUGUUGAUAGCGAUGGUGGUAAUAAGGUAGUGGUGGUGGUAGUAAUGAGAGCGAUGGUGGUAACAAGGUGGUAUCGGUAACAGGGUGGCAAUAAUUGUGAUAGCGGUGGUAGUGAUGACAAUAAAUGAAAAAAAAUAAAAUAAAAUAAGUAAUCAUGAUUACAUCUAUUUUUG